rnacentral:lncRNA from 1 species
CGAUUAGUCCUCUGGACUUUGGAGCUUUUGUGCCUCCCUAUCUCAGAGUUCUUCCAUCAGCCCACGAGUCAAGAGUAAGAGAAUAUGUGCAACCUGCCUGUCUUUGAC